UGUAAUUCCCUCGUGUUAAAUGUCAAUUCCUACUAAUGCCUUAGAAGACCUAUCACAAACUCACAGACUGGAAUCCCCCCAGUUUUGUUCGAAUGCAGAGCUCGGUUGCGAUGUAGCAAACUAGCGAACUCUGGCUCAGUAGCGCUGAGAACCUGUCAUACGAACAGUUAAUGUUGGAAGACUGUGUCUUUGAUAUCAUCGUCAUGCUGCAGCUUGCUGAUCAGGGUCGUCCCGAUCCGUCCUUCAGCGAGCCUUGAUCCUUCUGCGGGACUGGAUCCCUUGCUUUGCUGGCUGUUUCAGCUGCUAAAAAUGACAGGCAGACAGGCAGGCAGGCACAGUCUGGCAAAUAAAGGGAGAGCUUAAAUCUUGCCUUUACACUCAAAUGAAUAUUAAUGACAUCAUAAGCAUGAAAUCAAAAGCCUGUUAAAGUAACUAGUUUAAAUAAUAGUAGAAAUGUUGUGAUGUUAGCCAGCUGAAAGCCUCUGUGACCGGUUUGCUGGUCCUGGCCUCGGCAGGAUAAUCUGUGGGCCCGUGAGCCAGACCCUUAACCCCCAGUUCCAUGGACGCCGCUACAGGUACAGUAGCUGCCCUUCGCUGCCAAGCUCGCUCUCACCUACAUGUGCCAUGGAGAGUAAGAUGGGGUAACCGGCAACGGUGUUUAAAGGUUGCACAGUAUGGCCCCUCUUUUUAGGGUCCGGCCCUCUUCGGGCCCCCAGGUUUACUCUCAGACUCUUAAUCGGUUAAUUAGAGUAAUUAUUUCAGUAGUAAGUCCCUGGUAAUUCAUGAGACACCAGCUUUAUGUUAGGAAUAGGAGGGAGGGAGAGAGGGAGGGGGAGAGAGAGAGGAACCAGUACGCAUGGUCUGUGUGCCAGAGAGGGAGGGAGAGGGAGAGAGAGGCUGAGCUCCGGCGAGCAGCUUCCUUGUGUGAAUCUCACAUCAGGAACAGACCCAGCAGUCCGGCAAUCCUGAUUCAUGCCUGCCGGUGUGAUGGGCCAAGAACCUUCCGGACUGACUGACUGACCGACUGCUGCGCCUCGCGAGCACAGGCGGGGGGGCUCCGGAGCCGAGCGGCUGAGCCCAGCGGGGAGCGGCGCCGCCAGGAGCCCAGGCAGCCGGACAGCCUCGAGAGAAGCUCAGGGCACAGAGCGCAGGAGUAAGAUGUCACAUGACGAGCGGCGAUCCACCAUGGAAGGGAAGAGGACUCCGCGGCCAGACGAGGAGAAG